GGGAAUAUGGCUCAGUGGUAGAGUGCUUGCCUGGCAUGCACGGAGCCCUGGGUUCGAUUCCUCAGUACCA
rnacentral:tRNA from 1 species